CCCCCCACCCCACCCCACCCAGACUCUGCCUCUGGAGCCAGGGUCCCUCCCUGCUCCGGCCCCGAAAGAUCCUUCAGGAAACGGAGGAAGUAUGGACACACAGCCCAGGCAUUUGGGGGUACAGGCAAAGGAAUGCUCCAGCACGGAAGCAACCAGCUUGGGGAGCGUCUCCUGUUAGCUGGGCUUGUGGCAAAGACUCUACCCCAAAUCCUGCUGCUUCUGAACAUAUCCACAAAAGGGAAGAGGCCAGUUUCACGAUUAUCUUUUCACCGAGAGGAAGAUGGGGCAUGAGCAGUCAUGUGCCACAGGCUAUGUGAAGGGGACUCCUGUCUAAUUGUUGCGACUCCAGCAAUGCAAGGGUCGCCUGGCCGCCCGCCGGGCGUGGAACUGGACGGCGGGCUGGCUGUUCAGGGUGAGGAGCGCCUCGUCCGGGCCCCGGCACAGUGACUCCACCUUCACUUUGGAAAACAGUAGUCUACGGCGGGGAGACAAAGGGAGAAAACAACACGGCUCAAGCCAGAGUCCCCACCGGAAACCAAACACCGUGGCCUGGCCUAGACCCGGAUGCUAUGGUGCUUAUCCUAGAAAGGGGUGUCCAAAGGCUUGAUCCAGGGGAAGCCGUGGUGCAGACCAAGGAUUCCAGAACUCCCAGCUCAAUAUAUGGCUUUGUAUACUGAAGGCAAAUGCAGGCACACCAAAAAGGACCAUCUGUGAUCAGGUUAAAAGCAUCAGAGUGGUUGGGGCACCUGGGUGGCUCAGUCGGUUGAGCAUCCGACUUCGGCUUACGUCAUGAUCUUGCGGUUCACAAAUUUGAGC